UUUUAGAUUCAACAAAGAUGGCGGACGCCUGGUGGAAAAUCCAGCCAAAUACUGCCAAGAUUCUACUUAGAACUCAAUAACUACUUCGGAAUAAGACGGCUUUAUUGACUUAGAGUAUCAAUGUGACUCAAGCCAUGUCGAUCAUGGCUCCGAAUUGUGAGUGGGGGUGGCAAUGUGCGACAAAACAGACAGUAAUUCCAUUACAAAUCACCAACUCUGCCAAGUUAGGCUCUCGAUCUAGUCAAUCUAGCCUCUGGAGGUAAAACGCCAGCGAACUUUGUGGCACUUGAGGGUCAGUGCAUGUUAGUGAAAUGUCAAAUCUAUCCUCUAGUAUAGCUGAUCCACUCGGGGAACCAAGUAGUGGAGCUAAAUGGCUUUUGGCAGCUUCUACACUGAGGCAGCUUCUAUAUUUCCUUGCGUCGUGGUAUUGUACGUUUGGUUCCCCCUUGCAAUAGCUGUGACAUGUAAAGAUAUCCAUGGAGUACUUAGGGGGGAAUUGCUGUCCAAUCGAUAACUGUCACGUUAUUUGGAUCUGGAAAACAUGACGAAGAGGAUUGUUUCAAGUCCUUGUAUGAUAAUGGGAGUGCUUUGGAGUUAAUUGAGUUAGGUGAGCAGUUCUGGAUAGGUUUUUUUUAGCUUUAUUGUAUGAGGCUAUUGUUCUUGGUGCACAUCCAAAUCUAGUCAGAAGGCCACUGUUGAGGGCAGAUCUUGGCAGUCCAUGCAGGUGGAGGUACAAACCAAGAUCCUUCAGUAAUUUACUAGUUUUCUGAGACCUGAAAACAAGAAUAUGCUAGACAUUUAAAUAAAAUGAAUACUAACACUGCCCUCAAAUGUAUUUGAAAAAUCAAAAUUCAUUUGUUUAGAGAGUACAUUUAAUGCCAUAUUCUAAUGGAAUAUUACUGGUAUUUUCAGUCAUGGAAUCACUUAAAGUAUAACAUACCUAAAGUAAGCCAAAGUGUGUAACAGAGUAACAGUGCGCUGCUCUUGUAGGGCGGAAUGCUUGCAUCUGGUCAUGGUUUAGAAUUGUUGAAUAUAGCCCUGGUACAUACUUUUUGGCAAAGUCUCUCGUGGUUGCUGGGUCAUAGAGUGGUGCUGAGUCAGCAUCAUAGUGCCGAAACAAUGCAAUUUGGAAUUUUCCUACUUGUUCGUCAAAUGUCUCAUCUGAUGAUAAAAA